rnacentral:rRNA from 1 species
UACGUAGGUGGCAAGCGUUGUCCGGAUUUAUUGGGUUUAAAGGGUGCGUAGGCGGCCCUGUAAGUCAGUGGUGAAAUAUCCCAGCUUAACCGGGAGGGUGCCAUUGAUACUGCGGGGCUAGAGUACAGAUGAGGUAGGCGGAAUUGACGGUGUAGCGGUGAAAUGCUUAGAUAUCGUCAAGAACACCUAUAGCGAAGGCAGCUUACUGGGCUGUAACUGACGCUGAGGCACGAAAGUGUGGGGAGCAAACAGG